CCAAUAGCGUAUAUUAAAGUUGUUGCAGUUAAAAAGCUCGUAGUUGAAUUUCGGGGUCAGUGAGUUGGUCGUGCCACUGGUAUGCACUGGCUUUACUGAUUCCUCCUUCUUGAAGAACUGUAAUGCUAUUAAUUUAGUGUUGCAGGGAAACAGGACUGUUACUUUGAAAAAAUUAGAGUGUUUAAAGCAGGCUAACGCUUGAAUACAUUAGCAUGGAAUAAUGAAAUAGGACGUUUGAUCCUAUUUUGUUGGUUUCUAGGAUUGACGUAAUGAUUAAUAGGGAUAGUUGGGGGCAUUAGUAUUCAAUUGUCAGAGGUGAAAUUCUUGGAUUUAUUGAAGACUGACUACUGCGAAAGCAUUUGCCAAGGAUGUUUUCAUUAAUCAAGAACGAAAGUUAGGGGAUCGAAGACGAUCAGAUACCGUCGUAGUCUUAACCAUAAACUAUGCCGACUAGGGAUCGGAUGAUGUUAAUUUUUUAAUGACUCAUUCGGCGCCUUACG
rnacentral:rRNA from 1 species